rnacentral:rRNA from 1 species
AGAGUUUGAUCCUGGCUCAGGAUGAACGCUAGCGGCAGGCUUAAUACAUGCAAGUCGAACGGUUACAGCAAUGUGACGAGUGGCGCACGGGUGAGUAACGCGUACAUAACAUACCUUUAACUGGCGAAUAGCCUUGGGAAACUGAGAGUAAUACGCCAUAACAUUGUAGCUUGGCAUCAGGCAGCAAUUAAAGUUCCGGCGGUUAGAGAUUGAUGUGCGUUGGAUUAGAUAGUUGGUGAGGUAACGGCUCACCAAGUCAACGAUCCAUAGGGGGCGUGAGAGCGUGGUCCCCCACACGGGUACUGAGACACGGACCCGACUCCUACGGGAGGCAGCAGUAAGGAAUAUUGGUCAAUGGGGGCAACCCUGAACCAGCCAUGCCGCGUGCGGGAUGAAGGCGUUCUGCGUCGUAAACCGCUUUUAGAGGGGAAUAAAUCCCGAUACGUGUAUCGGACUGAAGGUACCCUCGGAAUAAGCACCGGCUAACUCCGUGCCAGCAGCCGCGGUAAUACGGAGGGUGCAAGCGUUAUCCGGAAUCACUGGGUUUAAAGGGUGCGUAGGCGGUUUUGUAAGUCGGUAUUGAAAGUUUGCAGCUCAACUGUGAAAUUGGUAACGAUACUGCAAGACUUGAAU